rnacentral:rRNA from 1 species
UCCGUAGGCGGGUAAUUAAGUCAGAGGUGAAAUCCCACAGCUUAACUGUGGAACUGCCUUUGAUACUGUUGGUCUUGAGUUAUAUGGAAGUAGAUAGAAUGUGUAGUGUAGCGGUGAAAUGCAUAGAGAUUACACAGAAUACCGAUUGCGAAGGCAGUCUACUACGUAUAUACUGACGCUAAUGGACGAAAGCGUGGGGAGCGAACAGGAUUAGAUACCCUGGUAGUCC